GAUGAACGCUGGCGGCGUGCCUAAUACGUGCAAGUCGAGCGAACGGACGAGAAGCUUGCUUCUCUGAUGUUAGCGGCGGACGGGUGAGUAACACGUGGAUAACCUACCUAUAAGACUGGGAUAACUUCGGGAAACCGGAGCUAAUACCGGAUGAUAUUUUGAACCGCAUGGUUCAAAAGUGAAAGACGGUCUUGCUGUCACUUAUAGAUGGAUCCACGCUGCAUUAGCUAGUUGGUAAGGUAACGGCUUACCAAGGCAACGAUGCAUAGCCGACCUGAGAGGGUGAUCGGCCACACUGGAACUGAGACACGGUCCAGACUCCUACGGGAGGCAGCAGUAGGGAAUCUUCCGCAAUGGGCGAAAGCCUGACGGAGCAACGCCGCGUGAGUGAUGAAGGUCUUCGGAUCGUAAAACUCUGUUAUUAGGGAAGAACAUAUGUGUAAGUAACUGUGCACAUCUUGACGGUACCUAAUCAGAAAGCCACGGCUAACUACGUG
rnacentral:rRNA from 1 species